rfam:Cavia porcellus supercont2_33 genomic scaffold, whole genome shotgun sequence.
UGGAGCCCAACUUGGUGCCAGAAAAGAGGGGAAUUAGUGAGGGAUGUCGUUCCUGGGCCCAAAGUAGAGAAAGCAAAAAGAAAAUAGAGGACUGUCAUGGGAGCCUGCCACACCGUUGAACCUCGGUAAGUGAACAGCGAUUAUGGGACAAGAAAUUAGCCAGUAUGAGACUUUGUUGAAAGUUUAGAAGAGCUUUAAAGACACAAAGGGUAAGGAAAAAAAAAUUGGCAAUUGUGUCCACUAGGACAA